GAAGAGAAUUGCGGAGUUCUUAAUCAUUCAGAGGGAAUCCUCCAGCUUGCCCUGCGUCUCUCGGAAGAGGGGACCCAGACCCUCUGGCUCUGCCAGUUCUACUUCCUCCACCAUUACCAACGACGGGGACAGCAGAUGCCCAGGGGCUCAACAGGCAGAAACAUAACCUUCUGGAGUGGGUGGAGUGGAAGAUGGAGUAUGGGAAUACAUUUUCCAAAAUUUAUCCCAUUAAUAGUUCCUGUUUGGAUUCCUCUAACAAGAAGCAAGCACACGUGAUCCGGAAGGUAGGACAACAGCAACUGAGCAUUCCAUGGAGAAUGCCUAAGUAAAAUGUGGUGAGUGGGAUAUUUCUGAGCAGUAAGAAGUAACAACCUAGAAACAUAUAAAG